rnacentral:misc_RNA from 1 species
GAAAUGCGAUACGUAGUGUGAAUUGCAGAUUUCCGUGAAUCAUCGAAUCCUCGAACGCACAUUGCACUUCCGGGUACUCCUGGGAGUAUGCCUGUUUCAGUAUCAGUGUUCAUCUCAAACCAGAUUGGGUUUGGAAUUGAGCUUUCCCACAGAGCCGCGCUCUUUACGGGCAAGGUGUGCUGUGAAGCUUUAAAAACAGAUGAAAGUCAGCCUUUGAAAAACUGAUUGCAACCGAAGCUGGAUAGUGCCAGAUAGGCAUCUUUUUGAAAGCUCAAGUGUUGUGAAGGCCUCCACUUUUUGUUACCACAAGAAACGUUCGAGCGCAAGUUCGAACACGGGUUAAUCGCCCGCCCAAAACUUGAUCUGAAAUCAGGCAAGAUGACCCCCUGAACUUAA